UCAACAGUGAACGUCUGCUGUCGCCAUCCU
rnacentral:piRNA from 1 species